GGGGAGGGGUGAACCGGCAGAGUACAGAGGAUUUUGGGGGCAGUGAAACUACUCUGUAUGAUUUUAUAAUGAUGGAUACAUGUCAUUAUACAUUUGUCCAAACCCAUGGAAUGCACAACGCCAAGAGUGAACCCUAAGAAUCAUAUCCAUGGAAGGCUUCAGAUGCUUGUGGAUUUAGAAAGAAAAGGAAGAUCUGGCACUUCUAAUGCUGCUUCAAUGAAAAAGGAAGGCUCCUCCAGCCCCAAAUGCGGUCACACUCCAAAGCCACUUUCUAGGCCUGUCGCCUCCAUCAUAACUGAGAAAGUGAUGACACUGCAGCAAGCUCAGGGUGCUCCUGCAGAAACUGACCUCGGAUACUCGUGUUAGACAAGACACCUUCUCAUCCCAUACGAGCCUUUACAAAUAAAAGAUGUUGACAACACACACUUAAAUAAUAGGAAACAUAUUUUUGGCCAGCGAGUUAGCUUUUUGGUCAGGCUUGAAGACUGUAGCACAUAUUUUGGAAGCUCCGCCAGCAUCCUACCCACUCUCUCCUUCUGAACAGAAUUGUAUUUCCCAGCCUUGCGGUUCGGUUUGGGAUUGGCUUAAGCCAAUCAAUGUAUGUAACCCUGUGUCCACAAUAAUUAUUUCAGAGUUGGGCAUGUGAUUAAAUGAGAUGUGAAAGAAGAUGUUGGGGCUUUGGAGAAAGAAACUUCAGUUGAUAUUGGCCAUUCUCUUGGGAUCACAAAGAACCCCUAGUCAGUCUUAGAAUAAGACAUCAGCCUACAUUACCUAUAAAUCAGAGUGGCAAGAAGAAAAGAAAUUGGUCUGUAAUGACAUUGUUGAGUCAGUGGAUUGAUCUUACCUAAAGCCCACAAUAUCUAUAGACUUUGAAACUCACAGGCAGUAAAUUCUCCUUAUGGUUUAAGCCUCCUGAGUUGGGGUUUCUGUUAAGUAAUAUUCUACUUGAUACUGAGUCAUUAAAGGAAACCCUGGAAAUAUUUAACAGGAGACAAAUUAAUCAGGAAGUUAUAAGCAAACACCUGUCGUAUAUCAGCCAUACCAGGAUGGAAUUGCUGCUCUACCAUUUUACCACUUAUGUGAGCACGGGCAGGUUAUUGGAAGAAAACGUGAAACUCAGUUUCUCAAUCAGGAAAUUGGGGGAAAGUAUAUUGAUCUCAGAGGAUUGUUGUGUAUAUAAUGCUAUAUAACAUAAAUGAAAUUGCCCAGGAGCAAGACUGUUUCCUAGACAGAGAAAUCAAUAAAGAUACAAUAAAAUCACAGAGAAAAGUAAGACUUAUAUUUACCAAGAAAUAAAUUGUGUGUGAAGAAUCUUUCUAAAGUGUACCCAAGGAUGAAGAUGGAUGGAGCCUGGACGGACAGCUAUGGACUCCAGAUUUCAUAAGAAAUCGUAUGGAUGACAGAGAUCUCAGACAUUCCUCGAAUAAAACUUACGUAUAAUUAAAAAAA
rnacentral:lncRNA from 1 species